rnacentral:rRNA from 1 species
AGUGAAGCGGCAAAAGCUCAAAUUUGAAAUCUGGUACCUUCGGUGCCCGAGUUGUAAUUUGGAGAGGGCAACUUUGGGGCCGUUCCUUGUCUAUGUUCCUUGGAACAGGACGUCAUAGAGGGUGAGAAUCCCGUGUGGCGAGGAGUGCGGUUCUUUGUAAAGUGCCUUCGAAGAGUCGAGUUGUUUGGGAAUGCAGCUCUAAGUGGGUGGUAAAUUCCAUCUAAAGCUAAAUAUUGGCGAGAGACCGAUAGCGAACAAGUACAGUGAUGGAAAGAUGAAAAGAACUUUGAAAAGAGAGUGAAAAAGUACGUGAAAUUGUUGAAAGGGAAGGGCAUUUGAUCAGACAUGGUGUUUUGUGCCCUCUGCUCCUUGUGGGUAGGGGAAUCUCGCAUUUCACUGGGCCAGCAUCAGUUUUGGUGGCAGGAUAAAUCCAUAGGAAUGUAGCUUGCCUCGGUAAGUAUUAUAGCCUGUGGGAAUACUGCCAGCUGGGACUGAGGACUGCGACGUAAGUCAAGGAUGCUGGCAUAAUGGUUAUAUGCCGCCCGUCUUGA